rnacentral:rRNA from 1 species
AGUGGCGGACGGGUGAGUAACGCGUGAGAAUCUGCCCUCAGGAGGGGGAUAACGGCUGGAAACGGCCGCUAAUACCCCAUAUGCCGAGAGGUGAAAUGAAUUUCGCCUGAGGAUGAGCUCGCGUCUGAUUAGCUAGUUGGUGGGGUAAGAGCCUACCAAGGCUUCGAUCAGUAGCUGGUCUGAGAGGAUGAUCAGCCACACUGGGACUGAGACACGGCCCAGACUCCUACGGGAGGCAGCAGUGGGGAAUUUUCCGCAAUGGGCGAAAGCCUGACGGAGCAACGCCGCGUGAGGGAUGAAGGCCUCUGGGCUGUAAACCUCUUUUCUCAAGGAAGAAGAUCUGAUGGUACUUGAGGAAUAAGCCACGGCUAAUUCCGUGCCAGCAGCCGCGGUAAUACGGGAGUGGCAAGCGUUAUCCGGAAUUAUUGGGCGUAAAGCGUCCGCAGGCGGCCUCGUAAGUCUGUCGUUAAAGCGUGGAGCUUAACUCCAUUUCAGCGAUGGAAACUGCGAGGCUAGAGUGUGGUAGGGGCAGAGGGAAUUCCCGGUGUAGCGGUGAAAUGCGUAGAUAUCGGGAAGAACACCAGUGGCGAAGGCGCUCUGCUGGGCCAUAACUGACGCUCAUGGACGAAAGCCAGGGGAGCGAAAGGGAUUAGAUACCCCUGUAGUCCUGGCUGUAAACGAUGGACACUAGGUGUC